UACGUAGGUGGCAAGCGUUGUCCGGAUUUACUGGGCGUAAAGGGCUCGUAGGCGGCCAACUAAGUCAUACGUGAAAUCCCUCGGCUUAACCGGGGAACUGCGUCUGAUACUGGAUGGCUUGAGUUCGGGAGAGGGAUGCGGAAUUCCAGGUGUAGCGGUGAAAUGCGUAGAUAUCUGGAGGAACACCGGUGGCGAAGGCGGCAUCCUGGACCGAUACUGACGCUGAGGAGCGAAAGCCAGGGGAGCAAACGGG
rnacentral:rRNA from 1 species